rnacentral:rRNA from 1 species
CAGUCGCCACGGGAAUACGUAGGUGGCAAGCGUUGUCCGGAAUUAUUGGGCGUAAAGGGCUCGCAGGCGGUUUCUUAAGUCUGAUGUGAAAGCCCCCGGCUCAACCGGGGAGGGUCAUUGGAAACUGGGAAACUUGAGUGCAGAAGAGGAGAGUGGAAUUCCACGUGUAGCGGUGAAAUGCGUAGAGAUGUGGAGGAACACCAGUGGCGAAGGCGACUCUCUGGUCUGUAACUGACGCUGAGGAGCGAAAGCGUGGGGAGCGAACAGGAUUAGAUACCCCCGUAGUCCCUGUCUCUUAUAU